rnacentral:lncRNA from 1 species
UCAAUAUAAUCUCCUGAAGUGACAUUUUCCCUGGAUUAUACAUGUUAUCUCCAUAGUAACUGAGCACUUUUCUCCACGCAGUCCUACAUGUCUUCCUUUUCUCUUGUCCUCCAUCUUGCAUCUCAGGAAAAAAGUCACAUGAAGAACAUGUUAUAUACUACGCAUUCAAAGUAGCUGGCAUAUUUCUACUUUAUUAUUAAAUUUGUCUGAUAUUUUGACUAUACAUAUGAUGAAAAAUAAUUAAAAAUCAUUUAUCAAUAUUUUAUUUGUUCUUAAACUGGCAGAUGAGAAUUUUGUUCAGAUAUUCAUCCAUAAAACUAGUAAUUAUAAUAAUUAUUAUUAUAAGUUAUUUCAAAGAUCAUGAAUUAUCAGACAUGUUAGACUCUGAAAUGUUUCUGGACUUUCCAUCACUUCAGUAGCAAACAUAAACGGUCUGAACAGUAUAAUAGUUUGUUUUACAAGCUUUGUGUAAGAAAAUGAUCAAUGCAAUCAUGACAUUAUCUGAAGUAUUUUCUUUUAGGUUAAAUCUAGUUUAGUUUCUCAUUUGUGCUGCGGUCAUCCAUAAAACAUUUAAUCAAAAUAAAAGACUUUGGUCUCAGUCUCACUAAAGAGUGACAUUCAUCUUCAACAAUAACAUGACUGAAUUUAGGAAUUUAAAUUUGUGGGUAUUUAUUAACAUUUUUUUUUCUGUAAGUUCUAGGGAUGCUGAUACCUAGAAGCCUGGAGCAUAUGGCACAGAAAAUAACAUUUUACAUUUCUGUAAGAUGUCACAUCUACAGGAAAACAACUCUGAUAGUCAUUGAUGAAAGUAAGUCAUUAUCAUUUUUCAGUUUACAUGUGCCAGUAGAGGGUCUGUUCAUUCCCACAUUCUUGGGAAGGAUGACUUUGAUUCUCUAAAGUACUACAAAUUUCCCACAUACUUUUCCCUAUUUGCUCAUGUUAAUAACAAGUUUAGGGAAAGAAAGAUAAAAACAUAAAAAUAAAAAUAAAAAAUAAAAAAAGUGAAAAUUAAAC